rnacentral:rRNA from 1 species
GACGAACGCUGGCGGCGUGCUUAACACAUGCAAGUCGAACGGAAAGGCCCUGCUUUUGUGGGGUGCUCGAGUGGCGAACGGGUGAGUAACACGUGAGUAACCUGCCCUUGACUUUGGGAUAACUUCAGGAAACUGGGGCUAAUACCGGAUAGGAGCUCCUGCUGAAUGGUGGGGGUUGGAAAGUUUCGGCGGUUGGGGAUGGACUCGCGGCUUAUCAGCUUGUUGGUGGGGUAGUGGCUUACCAAGGCUUUGACGGGUAGCCGGCCUGAGAGGGUGACCGGCCACAUUGGGACUGAGAUACGGCCCAGACGCCUGCGGGAGACAGCAGUGGGGAAUAUUGCACAAUGGGCGGAAGCCUGAUGCAGCAACGCCGCGUGCGGGAUGACGGCCUUCGGGUUGUAAGCCGCUUUCGCCUGUGACGAAGCGUGAGUGACGGUAAUGGGUAAAGAAGCACCGGCUAACUACGUG